UACGGGGGGGGCAAGCGUUGUUCGGAAUUACUGGGCGUAAAGGGCUCGUAGGUGGCCAACUAAGUCAGACGUGAAAUCCCUCGGCUUAACCGGGGAACUGCGUCUGAUACUGGAUGGCUGGAGUAUGGGAGAGGGAUGCGGAAUUCCAGGUGUAGCGGUGAAAUGCGCAGAUAUCAGGAGGAACACCGGUGGCGAAGGCGGGUCUCUGGGCCGAUACUGACGCUGAGGAGCGAAAGCGUGGGGAGCGAACAGG
rnacentral:rRNA from 1 species